UUUUUGUAUUUCUGAGCCAAAUGUUAAAUUGAGGCUAUUAUUUUAAAGCUAGUUUAAAAAUACCAACAGAACUGUUUGAAAGCCUGUCAAUUCCUAUUCUUGGAUGGUAACAGGUUGCCUGGUUUAUUUCUCUCAUCACUUUCUUGCAAGCAUUCAAGCCAGUUUUCCAGUCUCAAAAACUCUUCUUCCCUUCCACCCACAAGUCAUGUAAACUGUAACUCUUCCCUAAUGAAGAGUGGUGGCUGUUUUAAAUAUGAGGGUUGUAUUUGCUGAGGUUAACAUGUACAAUGUUGUAUGGUGGUAAGGUAUUGAGAAAGAAUGUAGAAGGUUUGUGGAGGUCAGACAGAAAUGAGACAGCUAAGGCUUCGUGUAUGAAUGAGAGCUGAGCUUUAAGGGCAUCAACAUUGGGUGUGCAUUAGGGAUCGAGACACAUGAUGAUAUGCCCUUAUGAAGGGAUAAGAAUGUACACAAGCUAGUCUUGAAAGGUUUUUGUUC